CUCGAUCUUGACGUGCAACACCUCUGCUAUUUCAGUGUUGCGGCGGGGACACAGCUGGUCCUGAGAAGGCAUCAUACUCAGACAAGCCUGCAAGAUUGCCUUCAUUCCUGUUGUUUCCGUUAGUGAUGCUUGUCCAUGGAAUGAUAAUCUCAUUUUCCUCUGUGGGUUGAUGUUCUGUCAUCAGAGGAGUGUCAGGAAGACCUAUUACAGAGCAGACAUCUAAGAUGAGGUCUUCCAUGCUAAACUAGCAGCAGCAACUGAGAAACACUUGCCA